rnacentral:tRNA from 1 species
UCCCGGGUGGCUCAGUGGUAAAGGAUCUGCCUGCCAAGCAGGAGACCUGGGUUCAAUCCCUGGGGUGGGAG